rnacentral:tRNA from 1 species
GCCGCGGUAGCUCAGAUUGGGAGAGCACCCGGCUGAAGAGGGUGAAGAAAGGUGCCGAUGAUCCUCUGAAACCGGGUUGUCGGGAGUUCAAGUCUCCCCCGCGGCA